UUUUGGACAAUGGGGGCAACCCUGAUCCAGCAAUGCCGCGUGAGUGAAGAAGGCCUUCGGGUUGUAAAGCUCUUUUGUCAGGGAAGAAACACCGGCUCUAACACAGUCCGGGAAUGACGGUACCUGAAGAAUAAGCACCGGCUAACUACGUGCCAGCAGCCGCGGUAAUACGUAGGGUGCAAGCGUUAAUCGGAAUUACUGGGCGUAAAGCGUGCGCAGGCGGUUAUACAAGACAGGCGUGAAAUCCCCGGGCUUAACCUGGGAAUGGCGCCUGUGACUGUAUAGCUAGAGUGUGUCAGAGGGGGGUAGAAUUCCACGUGUAGCAGUGAAAUGCGUAGAUAUGUGGAGGAAUACCAAUGGCGAAGGCAGCCCCCUGGGAUAACACUGAUGCUCAUGCACGAA
rnacentral:rRNA from 1 species